UUUGCUUGUAAUGUUUACUAACAUCGACACUAUCAAAGACGCACGUAAUGUAAACUUGUGUUAUUAUAAAGCUUUUGUUGCAUCUAGUUUUGUCUGUGUUGUUUUAUUAAAUCCAUAAAUGUUAAGAUAUACUUAAUUAACAUUAUACGUUGCGGACAGCAUUUCAUCAAAACUGUAUGUUUCAUCGAUCCAUUUAAUUAAAUGCUAAUUCGAUAGCAU
rnacentral:lncRNA from 1 species